rfam:Myotis lucifugus cont2.38166, whole genome shotgun sequence.
ACUCAAAAACAUUCUUUCCCCUGAACACACCCGGUCUCGUCUGAUCUGGGAAGCUAAGCAGGGUCGGGUCUGGGUGGUACUUGCAUGGGAGACCACCUGGGAAUACCGGGUGCUUAAAACA